CGCCGAACGGGAGGCCCCCCGCGAAGGAAGCCCCGCCCGCCGCUGCCCCGCCCAGGCCCGCAGCGCGGCGCUGCAGCGCGAGGGGCGGAGAGGCAGAGAGCCGAGAGAGGAGGACCAGACGCCCAGGUCGCCUGCAUCCCUGUGCCGCAGGAGCGAGCAAGCGCGCCCCGGCCCUGCUCCCCAGCCUUCGCCCGGGCGCCCCACCUGCUUCCUCGGUCCCAGAGACCGAGCACCUGUCCUCCGCCUCGGCUUCAGUUGAGCCCCCCUCCUCCGGAGCGCGCACAGCCCUGCUGCCCGCGAAGUGCUCCAGCCUGUCGCCGGCGACCACCAUGGCGGAGACCAACAACGAAUGCAGCAUCAAGGUGCUCUGCCGAUUUCGGCCCCUAAACCAGGCCGAGAUUCUGCGGGGAGACAAGUUCAUCCCAAUUUUCCAAGGGGACGACAGCGUCGUUAUUGGGGGGAAGCCAUAUGUCUUUGACCGGGUGUUCCCUCCAAACACGACCCAGGAGCAAGUUUAUCAUGCAUGCGCCAUGCAGAUUGUUAAAGAUGUCCUUGCUGGCUACAAUGGCACCAUUUUUGCUUAUGGACAGACAUCCUCAGGGAAAACACAUACCAUGGAGGGAAAGCUGCAUGACCCUCAGCUGAUGGGAAUCAUUCCUCGAAUUGCCCGAGACAUCUUUAACCACAUUUACUCCAUGGAUGAAAACCUUGAGUUCCACAUCAAGGUUUCUUACUUUGAGAUUUACCUGGACAAAAUUCGUGACCUUCUGGAUGUGACCAAGACAAAUCUAUCUGUGCAUGAGGACAAGAAUCGGGUGCCAUUCGUCAAGGGUUGUACUGAACGCUUUGUGUCCAGCCCAGAGGAGAUUUUAGAUGUGAUUGAUGAGGGGAAAUCAAAUCGUCACGUGGCUGUCACCAACAUGAACGAACACAGCUCUCGGAGCCACAGCAUCUUCCUCAUCAACAUCAAGCAGGAGAACAUGGAGACCGAGCAGAAGCUCAGUGGGAAGCUGUAUCUAGUGGACCUGGCGGGGAGCGAGAAGGUCAGCAAGACCGGAGCAGAGGGAGCCGUGUUGGACGAAGCAAAAAAUAUCAACAAGUCACUGUCAGCCCUCGGGAACGUCAUCUCCGCGCUGGCUGAGGGCACAAAAAGCUACGUUCCCUAUCGUGACAGCAAAAUGACACGGAUCCUCCAGGACUCUCUGGGAGGAAACUGCCGGACAACUAUGUUCAUCUGCUGCUCACCGUCCAGCUACAACGAUGCGGAGACCAAGUCGACCCUGAUGUUUGGGCAGCGGGCAAAGACCAUUAAGAACACUGCCUCGGUGAAUCUGGAGUUGACUGCUGAGCAGUGGAAGAAGAAAUAUGAGAAGGAGAAAGAGAAGACAAAAGCUCAGAAAGAGACGAUCGCAAAGCUGGAGGCUGAGCUGAGCCGGUGGCGCAGCGGAGAGAACGUGCCUGAGACGGAGCGCCUGGCUGGAGACGAUGCAGCCCUGGGAGCUGAGCUCUGUGAGGAGACCCCCGUGAAUGACAACUCGUCCAUCGUGGUGCGCAUCGCACCUGAGGAGAGGCAGAAAUACGAGGAGGAGAUCCGCCGCCUCUAUAAGCAGCUCGAUGACAAGGAUGAUGAGAUCAACCAGCAGAGCCAGCUCAUAGAGAAGCUUAAGCAGCAGAUGCUGGACCAGGAAGAGUUGUUGGUAUCCACCCGAGGAGACAAUGAAAAGGUCCAGCGGGAGCUGAGCCACCUGCAGUCAGAGAAUGACGCUGCUAAGGAUGAGGUGAAGGAAGUGCUACAGGCCCUGGAGGAGCUGGCCGUGAACUACGACCAGAAGUCCCAGGAGGUGGAGGAGAAGAGCCAGCAGAACCAGCUUCUGGUGGAUGAGCUAUCCCAGAAGGUGGCCACCAUGCUGUCCCUGGAGUCUGAGUUGCAGCGGCUACAGGAGGUCAGUGGACACCAGCGAAAACGCAUUGCUGAGGUGCUGAAUGGGCUGAUGAAGGACCUGAGUGAGUUCAGUGUCAUCGUGGGCAACGGGGAGAUUAAGCUGCCGGUGGAGAUCAGCGGAGCCAUCGAGGAGGAAUUCACGGUGGCCCGACUCUAUAUCAGCAAAAUCAAAUCAGAAGUCAAGUCUGUGGUCAAGCGCUGCCGGCAGCUAGAGAACCUGCAAGUCGAAUGUCAUCGCAAAAUGGAAGUGACUGGGCGGGAACUCUCCUCCUGUCAGCUCCUCAUCUCCCAGCACGAGGCGAAGAUCCGCUCGCUUACAGAGUAUAUGCAGAGCGUGGAGCUAAAGAAGCGGCAUCUGGAAGAGUCCUAUGACUCCCUGAGUGACGAGCUGGCCAAGCUCCAGGCCCAGGAAACUGUGCAUGAAGUGGCCCUGAAGGACAAGGAGCCAGACACACAGGACACAGAUGAAGUGAAGAAGGCCCUGGAGGUGCAGAUGGAGAGUCACCGGGAGGCCCAUCACCGGCAGCUGGCCCGGCUCCGGGACGAGAUCAAUGAGAAGCAGAAGACUAUCGAUGAGCUCAAAGACCUGAAUCAGAAGCUCCAGUUAGAGCUAGAGAAGCUUCAGGCUGACUACGAGAAGCUGAAGAAUGAAGAGCAUGAGAAGAGCAGCAAACUCCAGGAGCUGACAUUUCUGUAUGAGCGACAUGAACAGUCCAAGCAGGACCUCAAGGGUCUGGAGGAGACAGUUGCCCGGGAACUCCAGACCCUCCACAACCUUCGCAAACUGUUCGUUCAAGACGUCACGACUCGAGUCAAGAAAAGUGCAGAAAUGGAGCCCGAGGACAGUGGGGGGAUUCACUCCCAAAAGCAGAAGAUUUCCUUUCUUGAGAACAACCUGGAACAGCUUACAAAGGUUCACAAACAGGUGGAUGACUGGGUUUCAAAGCUGGUACGUGACAAUGCAGAUCUGCGUUGUGAGCUUCCUAAACUGGAAAAACGACUUAGGGCUACGGCUGAGAGAGUUAAGGCCCUGGAGGGUGCACUGAAGGAGGCCAAGGAGGGCGCCAUGAAGGACAAGCGCCGGUACCAGCAAGAAGUGGACCGCAUCAAGGAGGCCGUUCGGUAUAAGAGCUCCGGCAAGCGGGGCCAUUCUGCUCAGAUUGCCAAACCUGUCCGGCCUGGCCACUACCCAGCAUCAUCACCCACCAACCCCUAUGGCACCCGGAGCCCUGAGUGCAUCAGUUACACCAACAGCCUCUUCCAGAACUACCAGAAUUUGUACCUGCAGGCUGCACCUAGCUCCACCUCUGACAUGUACUUUGCAAACUCCUGUACCAGCAGUGGGGCCACGUCUUCCGGAGGUCCCUUGGCUUCCUACCAGAAGGCCAACAUGGACAAUGGAAAUGCCACAGAUAUCAAUGACAACAGGAGUGACCUGCCAUGCGGCUAUGAGGCUGAGGACCAGGCCAAGCUGUUCCCUCUCCACCAAGAGACGGCAGCCAGCUAAUCUCCCUCACGGACUGCCGAAUACCCGCACUUUCAGGUAGCUCCAGGCUGCUUUCUCUGACCAGCCUCAGGGUGCCUCCUGUCUUGCCCUCAACCUCUUCGUUUCUCCUGCUUUUUUUAUCGUCUCAAAACUUUUAAUAUGUAGUUGUCCCUCAGCUCCUGCCUUCCCUUCCUAGGGGCUACUUCGGUGCUGGCCCACGGGCUGUGGACACUGACCUCCCCAUCUCCCUGAAGCUUUCCUUUUGGCUAGAGUAAUGACCACAGUACUGCGUUGCUGCCACUAGGGGCUGCUGCCACAUGUCAAAAAGAGUGAGCGGGGAUGGUGCCCAUCUAGAGUCACGCCCAGUUUCUAAGAGGGACUGAGGCCUCUUCUCUCAGCAUGCUGCAAACCUGUGGUCUCUGAUACUAACAACUCCCUCCCCAGCCCUUGUUGUUUGACUGUACCGUUUGAUGUCUACUCUUACUCUGUAUCUCUUUGUACUCUGUAUCUAUAUAUCAAAAGCUGCUGCUAUGUCUCUCCCUUCUGUCUUACUCUCUAAGUAUCUAAUGAUGUAUUUAGCAAUUUCUAAGCAUAGUAUACCCUCCUCAUUUGGGGUAAUAGGGAGGAGGGUGAAUGUUUCUUCUUUCAAACACGCGUCUCUCACACUGAGUGGUGUUAGUCACGGAGAUGGUAAAAGGAAAAAUGGGAGCUAGAGGGCUGUGAUCCUUCUCUCUCUCUCUCUCUCUCUCUCUCUCUCUCUCUCUCUCUCUCACUCACACACACACACACGCACACACAUGCACACACACACAUGCACACAAAGCCUUAAGCAGAAGAAUGUCUUAGCAUCAUAAGAAGAUACAGAAAUAGACUCUUCCUCCCUCCUCUUUCACAUAUAGCACAGGGGAGGGUAAAAUGGAAGGACUGCUAAAUUACAUGUAGAAUUUUAUUCAUAUACCCCUCAUCUGAACCGAGGGAGUCCGGGUGUGCAACUCUACCCUCCAAAGUGUACCUUGGGCCUCCCUCUUCCUGUCCCCUGACCCCCCUGUCCCGAUGACCAAGGACAUGGAUUGUUCAAGGGACUAUUUCCCUUUCUCCUCAAAACUCCUUUUGAUAUUCUCUGCCCCAGAACUCAUGAACAGAAUCUAGAGUUAACUUAAAAUAUUUUGAGAAUUUGAGGAGGCAGACUCUUCACAACAGUCUAUCAAAUGGUUGCUCAUCUGUCAGGUGAUAGUUAUAGGCAAGCAUAGCCAAUGAUUGCUUCUUUGGGUUUGGGGGGGUGAACACACUGGGAAAUUCCAAGUGUUUUUUGCCACGGUGAGGAGCUGGAUUCUUUUCUCUGUCCCAUAUUGGGCUGCAUGUUCUUCCCAUCUCCACCUUUUGGUUUGGGACCUUCCAGUUCAUUGACAAAAUGUCUAUCUCAAGAUGCUUUCCUUUCAGGCUAGAGCCUCACUUUACCCCAUGAUAUGUCAAAAAAUUUCUCUUGACACAAAUCCUUUGAUAAUAUGUCCCCAUCUGGUACUAAGUGCACUUUAAAGAAAGGGGCAGAGCAGACUGGGGGGAGGGUGGUUAGAGGGGAGUGCUCUUUCCCCAGCACCACCCCAUGUAAUUGAUAGGACUGUUAUUUUAGUGUCCUUCCACAUGGUGCUAGGGUGGUUUUCUAGGUAACUGCAGGGAUGGAGAGUGGAGGUCAUAAGUCACUCCAAAUCAAGAAACAAAGCCUGAUGUCCAAAUACCCAGUCUUACGUAGGGUGGAAGAACAGGAUCCCCCAGCAGGCAACCAUCACCUAGUUUUGAAGUCAGGAAAGAAAGCUUGGUGUGAGUACCAGCUGGCAAAUAUAGGUUGUAUCAGCCUGUGACUCCUUCAAGGGAAAAAGUUCCUUCCUCUGUUACCUGUUGGGCCCCUUUUUAGCAAUUAGGGAGACAUGCAGGGAAAAAUAUACCAGAAGGGUGUAGAGUAAAUCCAAAGCAGUGAUAUUCAAACAUUUUUCAAAACAACUCUUUUAUGGAACCCCGAUAUAAAAAAUAACUAAAAGUGAUGCAGAUCUGGGCAGUUUCCAUUUUCUUUAUUUGGUGGAAAAUGCUUCCUUGGUGGAGAAGCUCUUGAAUAGUCCUAAGAGUUUAGAACCUGAGGGUUCUGUAAAGUAAUUUGAAAACCACUGCUCUGAAGGAAAGGGGUUCCAAUCUGCCUCCCCUGCCCCAAGCCCAUAACCUAGAGCAAAGAGGGAAAGUCCCAAUGGGAGAAGAAGGAAGAUACCUAUGCCCCUGUAGACUUGAGCUAAGAUUUGCCAACAGGGCACCUCAGAAUCACUUGGGCUUUAUUUAAUCUUGCCACCAAAUGAUUCUUUUAAAACACUUAAGAAACUGUGAAGGUGUAGGGCAGAUGAGGAGAGAGAUGUAAGGGAAAUAUAAUUCACUUACAUAAAUAAGAACACACACACAAGGCCUUCACCAGAAGCUUCACUCUACAUCCCCCCACCCCUUCCCACCACCACAGCAUCCCUUUCGGAGAGCUAGGGUCACCACAAAGGGGCACCUGGCCUGCCCACUCACAUCUGCCAAAAUGUUGCAUGCCAGCGUGGAAGACAAACCAAACCGCACAAACCCCAGUGUGUAUUUACUUGAUGUACAUAGAUACCUUGAAAAUAAAAUAAAUUCAACGAUGA